GCCAAGCAAGGGCAGAUAUAAUAUAGAAAAUUGGGAUAAAGGUGGAUGCCUAAAGAUAAAAAUAACAAAUAAUAGUGCAACACUGUAUGUUAUAACAGUUAUAACAGUGCCCCCACUCAAUAUGAAACAGAUUCCAAAUGGAAAAAACGCCUUGAAGUUGCCUUCCCUUAUUAGAGAGGUCAAGAUCCUCCUCCUCCUAGUAGCCAUCCGAAUCACAAUCAGG